rnacentral:rRNA from 1 species
GAUGAACGCUGACAGAAUGCUUAACACAUGCAAGUCAACUUGAAUUUGGGUUUUUAACUUAGGUUUGGGUGGCGGACGGGUGAGUAACGCGUAAAGAACUUGCCUCACAGCUAGGGACAACAUUUGGAAACGAAUGCUAAUACCUAAUAUUAUGAUAAUAGGGCAUCCUAUAAUUAUGAAAGCUAUAAGCGCUGUGAGAGGGCUUUGCGUCCCAUUAGCUAGUUGGAGAGGUAACGGCUCACCAAGGCGAUGAUGGGUAGCCGGCCUGAGAGGGUGAUCGGCCACAAGGGGACUGAGACACGGCCCUUACUCCUACGGGAGGCAGCAGUGGGGAAUAUUGGACAAUGGACCAAGAGUCUGAUCCAGCAAUUCUGUGUGCACGAUGAAGUUUUUCGGAAUGUAAAGUGCUUUCAGUUGGGAAGAAAAAAAUGACGGUACCAACAGAAGAAGUGACGGCUAAAUACGUGCCAGCAGCCGCGGUAAUACGUAUGUCACGAGCGUUAUCCGGAUUUAUUGGGCGUAAAGCGCGUCUAGGUGGUUAUGUAAGUUUGAUGUGAAAAUGCAGGGCUCAACUCUGUAUUGCGUUGGAAACUGUAUAACUAGAGUACUGGAGAGGUAAGCGGAACUACAAGUGUAGAGGUGAAAUUCGUAGAUAUUUGUAGGAAUGCCGAUGGGGAAGCCAGCUUACUGGACAGAUACUGACGCUGAAGCGCGAAAGCGUGGGUAGCAAACAGG